AUUAAAUUUAAUGGUUUAAUUUGUAGAUUAUUAGUUUUUUUAAAUUAAUAUAUUUGUAUUGAGUCAUUUUUUACAAGUAUUAUUAUAUCGAAAUUAAAUUGAUUUUUUAUCAUUACCAAUAAUCCAUACUAAAAAUAUCCGAAGUCAAAUUUGAAUUUAGUUAUUGUUUUAUUUUAACAUUGUUUAAUGUAAAAUUGAUUUUACGAUAUUUCUAAUUUCUAGUUAUAUUUGUGCAAAUUAUCGUUUAAUUAAAUAACGGAGAUUAGAUAAUUAAUGGAAUGAUUUCAAAAGUGCAUUAGGUUAUGCAUCACAAUUUUCGUGCAAAUAUGAAUAGAAAAAAUUUUGUUUUUGGAUAAUCGAUGAUUCAUGACUGUACGUCGUUCGACAUACUUCGAUUUGUUGCCGAACUUCAAGCAUAUUUUCUUCCUCUUAAUCCAAUUCGAUAAUCAAAAUCACAGCGCGAGAUGUCAUUCUUCCGUCAAAAAUCGUGUCUUUGGAUGUUUCGCUUCAGGUGAUUAAUCUAUAUUGUAAUUUCUUUUUAUUAUAUUUCCCGAUUAUUUUACUUUUCCUAUAUAUUGUUAUUUAAUUUAUUCAAUAAUUUUUAAUAUUA